rnacentral:rRNA from 1 species
UACAGAGGGUGCAAGCGUUGUUCGGAAUUAUUGGGCGUAAAGCGCGCGCAGGCGGUUCUCCAAGUCAGUGGUGAAAGCCCGGAGCUCAACUCCGGAAUUGCCAUUGAAACUGUUGAACUUGAGGACGAGAGAGGUGAGUGGAAUUCCCAGUGUAGAGGUGAAAUUCGUAGAUAUUGGGAAGAACACCGGUGGCGAAGGCGGCUCACUGGCUCGUUUCUGACGCUCAGGCGCGACAGCGUGGGGAUCAAACAGG